UGCCAGCGAUUUGGUCGGGAACUCAAAGGAGACUGCCGUUGAUAAAGCGGAGGAAGGUGGGGACGACGUCAAGUCAUCAUGGCCCUUACGACCAGGGCUACACACGUGCUACAAUGGCGUAUACAAAGGGAAGCGAAGGUGCGAGCUGGAGCGGAUCUCAUAAAGUACGUCUAAGUUCGGAUUGGAGUCUGCAACUCGACUCCAUGAAGUCGGAAUCGCUAGUAAUCGUAGAUAAGAAUGCUACGGUGAAUACGUUCCCGGGCCUUGUACACACCGCCCGUCACACCAUGGGAGUGGGUUGCACCAGAAGUAGAUAGCUUAACCGCGAGGGGGGCGUUUACCACGGUGUGAUUCAUGACUGGGGUGAAGUCGUAACAAGGUAACCA
rnacentral:rRNA from 1 species